rnacentral:rRNA from 1 species
GAUGAACGCUGGCGGCGUGCUUAACACAUGCAAGUCGAACGAAGAUGCCGGAGUGCUUGCACUUUGGCAGACUGAGUGGCGGACGGGUGAGUAACGCGUGGGUAACCCUGCCUUAUACAGGGGGAUAACAGUUGGAAACGACUGCUAAUACCGCAUAAGCGCACGGUAUCGCAUGAUACAGUGUGAAAAACUCCGGUGGUAUAAGAUGGACCCGCGUCUGAUUAGCUUGUUGGUGAGGUAACGGCCCACCAAGGCGACGAUCAGUAGCCGGCCUGAGAGGGUGAACGGCCACAUUGGGACUGAGACACGGCCCAAAACUCCUACGGGAGGCAGCAGUGGGGAAUAUUGCACGAAUGGGGGAAACCCUGAUGCAGCGACGCCGCGUGAGUGAUGAAG